AGGAUGAACGCUGGCGGCGUGCUUAACACAUGCAAGUCGAACGAAGCACCUUAAUUGAUUUCUUCGGAAUGAAGUUAUUGUGACUGAGUGGCGGACGGGUGAGUAACGCGUGGGUAACCUGCCUCACACAGGGGGACAACAGUUGGAAACGGCUGCUAAUACCGCAUAAGCGCACAGUGCCGCAUGGUACGGUGUGAAAAACUCCGGUGGUGUGAGAUGGACCCGCGUCUGAUUAGCUAGUUGGCAGGGCAACGGCCUACCAAGGCGACGAUCAGUAGCCGACCUGAGAGGGUGACCGGCCACAUUGGGACUGAGACACGGCCCAAACUCCUACGGGAGGCGGCAGUGGGGAAUAUUGCACAAUGGGGGAAACCCUGAUGCAGCGACGCCGCGUGAGCGAAGAAGUAUUUCGGUAUGUAAAGCUCUAUCAGCAGGGAAGAAGAAAUGACGGUACCUGACUAAGAAGCACCGGCUAAAUACGUG
rnacentral:rRNA from 1 species